AGAUCAUCCGAAUCGUGCUCAACUCAAACAGUCCUGUGACUCCUCACAAGGACUACCCUGGCCAAGAUUUUGCUAAAUUGAAACACGACUGUACACAGCUCCUGAACUGGAGUGGUCAAUCCCAUCUUGACACACGCACCGACAAGUCAAGUACUUGACUACACCCAGCAGCCUUCCGUCACUGAAUUAAAAAUUCAGGUAGUCCAGUGCCUAAGUGCAGUGAGUUGCUUGCAAGUCACCGUGACGGUCUCAGGUCGGAGGGAUAUUUAUAUCCAUAU
rnacentral:lncRNA from 1 species